GCAUCGGUGGUUUAGUGGUAAAAUUAGCCGUUGCCAUUGGCAGUAUCGGCUAGCCCCGGGUUCGAUUCCCGGCCGAUGCA